AAAAAAAAAGGAAACUUCGGUCAAAUUCGUUGUUGGUCGCGGAUAGCACAGAGAUGAUGACAAGUUAUCUCCAAGUUAUCGUCGUUAGAAUUAGAAUUCCAUUGAAAUUCAAUGGACAGA